rnacentral:rRNA from 1 species
AUUGAACGCUGGCGGUAUGCUUAACACAUGCAAGUCGAACGGUAACAGGUCUUCGGACGCUGACGAGUGGCGGGCGGGUGAGUAACGCGUAGGAAUCUGCCUAUUAGUGGGGGACAACAUGUGGAAACGCAUGCUAAUACCGCAUACGCCCUACGGGGGAAAGGAGGGGACCUUCGGGCCUUUCGCUAAUAGAUGAGCCUGCGUUAGAUUAGCUAGUUGGUGGGGUAAAGGCCUACCAAGGCGACGAUCUAUAGCCGUUCUGAGAGGAAGAUCAGCCACACUGGGACUGAGACACGGCCCAGACUCCUACGGGAGGCAGCAGUGGGGAAUUUUGCGCAAUGGGGGAAACCCUGACGCAGCAACGCCGCGUGAGUGAUGAAGGCCCUUGGGUCGUAAAGCUCUGACAGAGGGAAAGAAGUGCAGGGGAGCUAAUAUCUCCUUUGCUUGACGGUACCCUCAAAGGAAGCACCGGCUAACUCCGUGCCAGCCGCCGCCGUAAUAC